rnacentral:rRNA from 1 species
AUUGAACGCUGGCGGCAUGCUUUACACAUGCAAGUCGAACGGUAACAGCACUUCGGUGGCUGACGAGUGGCGCACGGGUGAGUAAUACAUCGGAACGUGCCUAGUAGUGGGGGAUAACUACUCGAAAGAGUAGCUAAUACCGCAUGAGAUCUAAGGAUGAAAGCAGGGGACCUUCGGGCCUUGCGCUACUAGAGCGGCUGAUGGCAGAUUAGGUAGUUGGUGGGAUAAAAGCUUACCAGGCCGACGAUCUGUAGCUGGUCUGAGAGGACGACCAGCCACACGGGGACUGAGACACGGCCCAGACUCCUACGGGAGGCAGCAGUGGGGAAUGUUGGACAAUGGGCGCAAGCCUGAUCCAGCAAUGCCGCGUGCAGGAUGAAGGCCUUCGGGUUGUAAACUGCUUUUGUACGGAACGAAAAGCCCUCUUCUAAUACAGGAGGGUCAUGACGGUACCGUAAGAAUAAGCACCGGCUAACUACGUG